AAUUUUAAUUAUAACCAUCGAUCUUAUAUAGUCGACGAUUAAGAUCAAAUCUCCCAUUUCUUUACCUUCUAAAGAAAUCAAACCCCCAAAUCAGAUUUCAUUUUUCUCUUUUUAGAAUAAUCCAAUCAGCCGCCCACCUCCCUUUUUCUCUCCUCUAUCUUCAACAACCGCACCACCGCCGGCCACCUCUGGCUGGUGGAAAACUCUCUCCGCCGCCCUUCAUCUCUUUCUCUUCUCCUCUGUCGCCGGUGAACCAAGCCAAACGCUAGGUUUUAUCGGCGAAAAUGAACCAGCUCCGCCGGCCGCGAUUCCAUCUGGCAGAAUCAACAACUGUUGUCGUCGCGAUUCCAGACGGCAGAAUCAACAUCUGGUUGGAUGAAGUGAAGGCUCGCCUCGGAAGUGUUGUGUGAUAAGAAGGUGCCCCUUAAGCUUAAAGGCAAAUUCUAUAGAGUGACAGUCCGUCCGGUCAUGUUGUAUGGAGUGGAGUGUUGGCCAGUCAAGCACUUCUACAUCCAAAAAUUGAAGGUGGCGGAAAUGAGAAUGUUGCAUUGGAUGUGUGGGCUUACUAGAGGGACAGAGUUAGGAUUGAGAUUAUCCAAGAGAAGGUAGGAGUGGCUCCGGUGAAGGACAAGAUGUGGGAAGGCUGAGAUGGUUUGGGCAUGUGAUGAGGAGGGGCGCAGAUGUCCUAGUUCGUAGGUGUGAGAAGCUAGCUUUGGAUGGCUUUAGGAGGGGUAGAGGUAGGUCGAAGAAAUAUUGGAGGGAAGUGAUUAGACAUGACAUGAAACAACUUCAGCUUAUUUAGGACAUGACCCUAGAUAGGAAGGUGUGGAGGGCGUGGAUAAGGGUAGAAGGCUAGUUAGUGUGAGUGUGUGGGUCGUAGCAAGCAGUCAAGAGAGAUCUUGUGUACUCGGGUUAGUAAUCGUAGGGCUGUGUAUAUAGGUGUCUUUGGUAUGUGAGUGUAUGCGUAAUACCCUGAAAAAUCCAAACCAAUAUUAUAGCCAUGUAUCAAGCUCAUGCGUAGUACAUCGUUGUUCUUUUAUAGUUUUAUGAGUAAGUUAGAUGUAUAUUAAGGCUUCAAAUAACUCCCAGCUAUCAGAUGAGUCAAAACAUUUCUUACCGAUUGAAUUCUUGAGAAGGAUAUUGGUAUAGUCAACUUCAAACGAACAUAUCUCUCAUUACACUUGGAAUUUUUGAGCUUAUGACCUAUCAACAGAUAGAUAAUUGAAUUAUCUUUCCAACGAUAUCAAUUUCGUCUAAAUUCGAUAUCGGAGCAAAGAGUUAUUCCUAUUUUACUCCACCAUGUCAGGCUGGAAACUGUGUGACGACAUUCGUGGUAGCUUACCACAUUUAUGACGCCCUAUCAUGAAGGUCGUUAGCCUUAGGCAGAAUCCAGCUCCUAUAUGAUGACAUUCGUGGUAGCUUACCACAUUUGUGACGCCCUACCACGAAGGUCGUUAGCCUUAGGCAGAAACCAGCUCCUGUGUGACGACAUUCGUGGUUGUGACGUCCUACCACGAAGGUCGUCAGACUUAGGCAGAAACCAUCAGUUCCAGCUCCUGUGUGACGACAUUUUUGACGGCUUACCACACUUUUGACGCCUUGUCACAAAUGUCGUCAGCUAUGAUUUUCAACAACCGGGAAUUUAUUUCAUAAGGGUAUUUUGGUCUUUUCUUUCACCUUCUACGAUUUAUAACCUUAAAGAGGCGUAAUUUUUCUCAUUUUUUUCAGUUAAGCAUCUUAAAAACCUCUCUUACACUCUCAACCACAAGAUUAGGGUUUUAUCUCAAGAUCAUCUCCUCAGGAACAAGAGAGCAUUCUUUCCCAAAGGGGUUAAACCCUAGUCAAGAAAAAUCAAGGCAAGCCUAAGUAAUUCUUCAAGAACCUUCAGAAACAUUAGAUCUCUUUCAAGAUUCAAUCACUAAGGUAUGCGUAGUGUUCAUCUAUGGAUCCAAUCUGUUCAUAGAGCUCAAGAACCGUGUUUUAAAUAUUAUUUUGUAAACUUUUAUGGUGAUAUGAGUAUGUACAUGUUGACGAUUGUUGUUUAAGUUUCAAUGUGAUGUCUAAAGGUGUUUUCAUGGAAUAUAUAUGUUUGUUAAUUGAAAACCAUGAACUUUAGGUGGUUUAAUAUGGUGCAAGUAUGAAACCCACCUAUGCCUUAAAGAAUGCAUGCAAGGUGUUUGAUGAAAUGCCUAAGAUGCUAGAAAUUCAUAUUUACAUGAUUCCAUGAUAUCUAAAUGACAAGUCUGUGUUAGCUAUACACUUCAAUAUGGAUUUCCAUGCUAUUUAUGUGUUGUUAUUGUUGUGGUAUGGAGUAUGUAUGAUAAUGGAGGUAUGAAUUAUGUACAUGAAAUAUAUCCAUGCUUUUCCCUACCAUGUUUGAGAUGUUGAAUAAAUGCAUGAAGUAUAAUAUCCCCUACUUAUGAUAUUGUGAAUUGUGGACUCCGAUCUUGUGAUCAAGUCGUGUCAUGUGUGAGUCAGUUUCAUUCCAUCGAGUCCUGGAGGUAUUCGUACCCGAAAACUAUGGCUGUGUGCCUAGAGCCAUGUCAUGUUAUCACGAUACUUUCAGUUAAGCCAUGAUUUAUAGAAUUCAGUCAGUCAUGUGACUUAGGAAAACUCAGAAAUCUCAGUAAUCUUAGUAGUUCAGUAAUCUCAGUGAUCUCAGUACUCAGUAAUAUCUGUAACCUUAGUAUUCAAAGUCAAUCUCAAUAAUUUCAGUACUCUCAACUAGUCCUUAGAACUCAGUACAUUCCAUCAGUCAUCGGAAUCCAGUAAACUCUGUUUUAGCUCCGCAAAACAAUACCACUAUUUUCAGUUCAAUUAAUCAGUAUCAGUUCAGCAAAUUAGUUCAGUUAAGUUAUUUGGUUCAGCCCAGUUAUUCAGUUCAGUGUCUUUCAGAUGGGAGUAGGAUUCAGUACCGAGUGAGCCUAGGGAUGGGGACUCACCCGCUAGAUUAGCACUGAGAUUCUUAGAAGCAAUCCUUAAGUUCCAGAACUAUGUAGCUAGCGUAGGUACGAGAUGUCACCCGUUAGAUAGGACUACAUACUCAGGGGUCACCCGUUAGCACAUUUAUAUGUAUAGGACUGAUCCCAAGAGUCACCCGCUAUAUUAGUACUGACUCCACAACAGAUGUCUUUACUGGUGGCGCGGUACUGACACCCUUCCAGUCAGGGCAGAGAUUGGACCCCAGUCAGCUUAGCUUGGGGCAUGUCAGUUAGAUGAACACAUCCCACAGUUUCAGUAGUACAGAUUCAGUAUUGUUAGAUACAGUCAAUGCUUAUCAUUGUAAAUAGCCUUAAAGAUCACCCACUAGAUAGGACUGAUCUCAGACUAAGUCAAAUCAUUCUUAUUAUCAGUAUAUUCAUGAUCACCCGCUAGAUAGGACUGAUCUCAGAUUUAGUUACUCCAAGUAGAACGGAACUCAGAUAGUUCCAUCAGAACUUAGACUGUCAGAUACAGUCGCUCAGUAUGAGUUAUAUCGGUUAGGCUGAUCAUCACAGUUAUAUCAGUUAUAACAAUUUUCUGUUCUCAUGUAUCAGUCAUAUCAGUUAUCAGAAUUCAUGAUAUCAGUAUUCAGUUUCAAGACUGUCAGACACAGUCAACCAGACUAGUUCUUCAUAAUUCGAACUGUCAGAAAUAGUCGUUCAUCUAUUCAGUAUCUCAGUAUCAGUACACUCAUAUUGUCAGUAUUCAGACUCAGUAGUCAGUAUCUCCACAAGUUCAGUUACAGUUAUGUAUGCAUGUAUGUAUUCUCAUGUCCAUAUUAGUAGCAUUGUUCAUGCAUAUAACCCUUUGCGUUUAGCCUACCUUACUCGUAUACUCAGUACAUUCAGACGUACUGACGCAUUUACGCUAUGGUGCUUUCUCUUAUGUUACACCAUAGGUUUAGAGGCACGAGCUCCAGAUCAGCAGUAACAUUUCAGUGUUCAGAGUUUGCAGUGAGUCCUCAUUCGAGGACAAUAUGAUUAUUGCUACAUUUACUAUUCAGUUGUUAGAUGGAUUUAGUUGGAGAUAUGUUCCUUCAAAUUCUUAUUCAGACAGUUUAGAGGCUUUCAGACUACAGCAUGUCAGAAAGUUAUUACAGUUUUGUUUUGGUAUUGUUAUACCGUCUUCAGAUAUUAUUCUUAUUAGAUGUUUAUUCAGUUGAACCUUACGGCCUUGCAGUACAUAUUUUCUGCAUUUUUAUGUUAUAUUAUGCAGUAUAUAGGUACAGAUAUCAGUCGUGGGUUAGCUUGUGGUCCUUCGAGGUCAUGAGCACCAUGUAGCAUUCCGGUUCAGAAAAUCGGGGUGUUACAGUAUGUUACUACUAGGUGCGUGUCCCAUUUUCUAUUUCUUAGUUCCUAUUUUCUUAUUUCGUGUUGCCUUUAUUUAUCAUAUUUUGUAUUUUUCUAAUUUCUAUUUUAUUAUUUCUUAGUCUAUAUUUUUGUUAUGUCAUCCAUCCCUUUGUUUAUUAUUCUUUAUCUUGAGUCGGGGGUCUAUCGAAAACAACCUCUAUUUCUUUGUAGGUAGCGUUAUGGACUGCAUACAUCUUACUCUCCCCAAACUUCACUCUGUGGGAAUACACUGGGUUUUUUGUUGUUGUUGUUCCUCUGUUCAGCUGUGGUUUGUUUUUCCAGACUUGGUGGUUGAUUGUUGUUGUUUAUUCUGUUGUCAUGUAUGGGAAUCAGAAUGUUAAAAUUAUUAGUUUUAGUUAUAUAUAAUAGAUGUGAGUCUCUUUUGAUUAGUUUAUGUGUUUACCAUUUCAUAUUUGAACUCCUUAGUGAAAAUUCUUGCUCGGAUUAUUAGUAGCUAACCAUCACAGUUGUCACAGAUAGAUUGUUGCUUUUCUGGUUGGCCGGCCAUCUUUUUGUGAUCAAAAUUUUGAAGUUUAGGCUAAUUAAAGCAUUUUGUAGACAUGCUUAAAAUUAUUAUUUUUAGGUAUUUAUAAUAGAUGUGAACCUCUUUUGGUUAGUUUAUGUGUUUGCCAUUUCAUAUUUUGAAUUCCAUAGUGAAAAUUCCUGCUCUACCAUGCAUCUUUUUCACUUAUCCAAUAUAGCAUGGUUAUCCAACUUCACUUUUCAAUAGUAGAUGGAAUUCUCGAGAUAAAGGAUUUCGCAAUAUGCAUUCUUCUCUCCAUUGCCCGGUGAAACUAUGAAAUUAUAAUCUAUUAUGCAGCUUCCUCUUGUUCUCUUAUUCUUCUAAUUUCAUCAUCUGUUAUCUUAAUGGAACAAGUCAUAACAAUGGUCACAAUAAUUUGAAAUCAACUUUGAGUUUAUGAUGCUUUAUAGGGUAAUACAUGUUAUUUGUAUUCGUUGAUUGUUAUGCUUUUAUUUGAUAUUAUAAUGUAAUAUAGUUUAUGCUAAUAAUGUAUAUUUUUAGCACUUUUUAUGGCCUGAAUUAACAUAUCCUUAUGCAGAAUGAGUUUGAAAGAAACAAACAAGAAAUAUUAGCUGCUCAAAGUGCAUUAGUAGUAGAAGGAGAAACUAAUUUAGCUUGUCAGUCUUCUCAGUUAAGUGAAAUGGAUAUUUGGGUGCAAUCUGUAGGUGAAAAAAAAGAGUCAAAGGUCUUGGCUCCUUAGGUCAAAGUGUAAAGGCAUCUAACAAAUCAACAUCAACUUUGCCAAAAGAAAUUGAUGAGAUGAUUAAGUCUCAGGUUGAUGCUUCAAAUGUUGAUUUGUGUACUCUGUUGCAGAAUGAGCAACACAAAAAUAAAAGGCUGAGAAAGGAAUUGGACUUGUUGAUGUAGCAUGUAUGCAAGAAAUCAUCUUCAAGUGAUGAAUUGUCAUCUCAAGAAGGCAACCAAGAUUAUGAGGAUGAAAGUGACGAUGACUCUGACGACGUGAAUGAAAGUGAUUCUAAUUCUGAUAACGCGAAAGAAAGUGAUUCUGACCCUGAUAGUUGGUAGUUGUUUUGAGGAUUCAAGUUUGAAACAUUUUGUUUUGGAUCAUUUAAUAAUCAUACAUUAUUGAUAUGGAUAUUAUGAAUUAUGUUUUUAUGUUAGCUGUAAUGAUUUACAUUA